AACGAACGCUGGCGGCAGGCUUAACACAUGCAAGUCGAACGGGUGUAGCAAUGCAUCAGUGGCAGACGGGUGAGUAACACGUGGGAACCUUCCUAGAGGUACGGAACAACUCAGGGAAACUUGAGCUAAUACCGUAUAAGCUCUUGCGAGGAAAGAUUUAUCGCCUUUAGACGGGCCCGCGUAGGAUUAGGUAGUUGGUGGGGUAAUGGCCUACCAAGCCUACGAUCCUUAGCUGAUCUGAGAGGAUGAUCAGCCACACUGGGACUGAGACACGGCCCAGACUCCUACGGGAGGCAGCAGUGGGGAAUCUUGGACAAUGGGCGCAAGCCUGAUCCAGCCACGCCGCGUGAGUGAAGAAGGCCUUCGGGUUGUAAAGCUCUUUUACCAGGGACGAUAAUGACGGUACCUGGAGAAUAAGCCCCGGCAAACUUCGUGCCAGCCGCCGCCGUAAGAC
rnacentral:rRNA from 1 species